rnacentral:lncRNA from 1 species
CAGGCUUUCAACCUUGACCAGAGGUUUUCAUAAUGAAUGCAGCAUCCCUGGGGAGUGAUCUGAAGCUGGCGAGGCAAUGAGAACACCCUGGCAGGGCAGCUGAGCUGGGUGGAUCCUUGUUCUGUCACCAAGCCUUUAAGUCAUAUGCUGACAUGUUACAGUCCUGCCUGGGACCCUGCCCACAAAUACUUAAGAUACACGACUUUGGGAAUCACCCAACUGAUGGAAAGAACCAGGAAAGGGGUCAGGAUCUGCACCUUGGCAAACUUUGAAGAACACCCAAUUUGAUGAAUGAAAACUCCUCACUUGUGCUCUGGUGGUGUUUUAGGACAAUGGGCCCCUCCUGGAUGCUCCAGUGAAGCCCCAUAUCACCUUUUUCCUUCCUGUUUGCCAUAGCUCCAGAAGUUAAAAGCACAUAUUCAAAAGACAGGU